UGGCGGGAAGAACAUGAAACGGGUGGGCACCAUCCUCCAACAAGGCAUCCUGAUUCUUCUCCUCUGCUGUUUCCCGUGCUGGGCAUUUUUCAUCAAUACAGAACAGCUUCUGUUGCUAAUCCGGCAGGAUCCGGAAGUUUCCAGGCUCACUCAGGUUUAUGUCAUGAUCUUUAUCCCAGCACUGCCUGCAGCCUUCAUUUACCAGAUCCAAAUGCGGUAUUUGCAAAAUCAG